GCACUGUUGGAGGCAAACCCAAGAGCAACAAUGUACCUGCAUCUGUGAUAACCUCAACAGUAGACAGUGUCUACUCUUGUUUGUAUGUGGACCCCUAACCUACAAACUUGCUUUCAAGUGAGCUCCUUGGAGUGAGCACUUUGUGCAACUGGUGUACUGUAUCUACUCUGUGAUUCCUCAGCUACUCCAAGUGGGUAACGUUUACAUUAAUACUGCUGAGCUGGUGUAAUGCAAGGAAGGACACAUCAUGAAAUGGAAACAUUAUCCUUUUUUUGGUCAUAGUAGCUGUAUGCAGCCUUUCCAGAUGCCAUCACUUACUGGGUCAGCUUAUUCCAGGUGUAGAACGUGCAACUAUUCUGCUUUGAUGAUGUGGCUUUUGUGUUGAACGUGGCUAGAAAAGCACGUGUGCUGCACCGUCUUCCUAAUUAAGUCAUCAAAAUGCACUGGAGCAAACUGAGUGACUUGCGUAGACCAAUAUAAGUAAUUUUAGUUCAUCUAUUGCUUGGUUAAUAGAAAGUGGCACUAUUCUAGA
rnacentral:lncRNA from 1 species